rnacentral:lncRNA from 1 species
AGAAUGACUCAAAAAUUUCUGGAAUGAAGGAUUGUUCAAGUAAGAUAUCGGAACCACAAACCGCUUCUUUUCAGCUUCUCCAACAUAAACUGCAAAGUGGCCUUUUGGCACCACUGCUGUUGUUGCUGAUAUAGAUAGCUGACUUCUGGUAAGAAGAGAUUGCAGUUUGAGGAUCUGCUUGGCAUGAAGAAUUGAGGGCAUACGGAAACCCAUCUUCUUUGGAAUGAAAUUAGGAAAAUAAUCUUAAAUGAAUCUAACAAGCUUUUGUAGAACAAGAAUGGAAACUUGGAACACUUGAACUGGAUGUGAGGGUUGAUUCAGUUAUCUAUGUAUUUAUACAGAAAGAAUCCCUUAUUUUCCAAGCUUUCGUGGUUGGAGGAAAUGAUAGUUGGGCAAUUGAAGGGCCUUCCUCAUCAAGGGGUCACAUGGUUUUGCCUCCCUUUCCCUAUCUCUUUGUAUCUUUCUCUUCCACCACCAGCCUAAUUAGGUGUAUCAGCCCCACAUGUGCCUUCAAAGUUGUUAUCCAUGUAAAAUCUUAUGUCCCUAUGGCUACAAAUAGUUGGAAACAGACCUCUCCCUUGUGCUGGAAAACGAAAAGAAAUAAAUCCAUGAGAAGGUGAUAAGAUUUACAGAGGGCCAUAAAAGCUUUAGAUAGCAGACAGACUGAUAGAAUGACACUGUUUUUCAACAAACCGGUGAGAGACAUGAGUAGGUCUUGUGUCACUAUCUAAGUAUAAGAUUGAAGUUGCACUAGGACUACACAAGGAUGCUAACUCCCAGCAUAAUGUUCUAACAAGAUACUAACCAAACCCAAAAAUGCAGACACCUGGCACACAUAAUGCCGUAGCCAAUCAAGUGUGAAGAAACAUCAUGUUAGUUAAAAUGCAUUGUAAUGUUGUGAUUCUAAGCAGUUCUUGAAAGUGAAAAUGUGAUAAUUUCAAAACUCUAGCUUACAGUUUAAGUAUUUAUCAGAUCAAGGACUCAAAAAAUAGGCUUUGAGCACUUGGAAAUUUGGAAAUCACAUGCAGCCAAGCGUUCAAACAGUAAAUGCUACGAACCAACCUAGAGUUCUAAAUCAACGUGAGUCAAGGAAGGUUUGAAACACCAAAUAUAAGACGCUUCUUCAAGGUUCAAGGCAUACAAGCGUGAAAAUACUGAAGAUAGCAAUGUAGUAGGUAAAUCAAGAUCUAUGAUAGGUGACUAGGCUUUGAUAAUAUCAUCAUAUCAGUUAAUUCUCAUGUCUCAUCCCUCAGUAUAUUGAAGGGAAGAGAUUGUAUAUUGAUAGCAAACACUAAAACUACUCAACUUUCUACAAUUCGAGUGAGUUGGACAAAUGAAGGUAUGUUGAUCUUCUAAUUGAAGAAAGAUCAUACAGAAGUUAAAUGUAAUUGCCAGAGUUACAUGCUGAUAAUCAAAUGAGAUGACACUAUGACAGUGCUUAUUAUCGAGUUUGGAGAGAUGUAAUAUACGUAUUCCAAUAAUCUUUUUCUGAUUCUGCAUCUGGUAGAAAAAUUGAACUAAAAGUUCUUAACUACCAUCCUGAAUUAUUGAUCUGGGUGAGUAUCAAUGGGCUUAUACUAUCAUGCUGGAAGCCACAAGUACUCUAGUCUAUGCAACUGGAAAGAAGUAGGAGAAAAGAAAGUAUAUUGAUCUUAUAGCUCUGCCAUUUAUGUACAUCAAUGAAAUUCAUUUACAAGGGUCAAAAUUGGAGAUAGUGGGCUUGAGGUCUAACUCUCUACUCUUCUCCUCUCAUGAUGAAUGUAAUCAAGAAGUGAUAUCUAUGAAAGCAUCUUCAUUGCAGGGGAUUGUGACACCACCCAUUGGAUGAUUGAAGCCAAAUUCUUCCUCUGCAUGACUCAAUAAUUUCUGGAAUGAAGGAUUGUUCAGGUAAGAUAAUGGAACCACAAAUCGCUUCCUUUGGCCUUCUCCAACAUAAACUGCAAAAUGGCCUUUUGGCACCUCUGAUGCUUCUGUUGAGAUAGAUGAUUGACUUCUAGUAAAAGGAGAAUGCAAUUUGAGAAUCUGUUUGGCCUGAACAAUUGAGGGGAAACGAAUACCCAUGGCCUUCUAUGGAACGAAGCUAGGAAAAGGAUCUUAAAUGGAUCAAAUGAGUUUUAUGUAGAACAGGAAUUGAAACUUGGAACACUUGAAAUGGACAUGUAGGAGGACUCAGUUGUCUAUGUAUUUAUAGAGAAUGAGCUGCUUAUCUUCUGAUGAUUUCAUGGUUGGGAGAAAUGGUAGUAGGGUACUUGAAGGGCCUCCCUCAUCAAGAAUCACAUGGUCAGUAUGGUGCUUCUGCCCCACAUGUUCCACCUCAUUAUCGCUAUAGUAGCCAGGGCUGGCAUGGCUGUGAGUAAUUGUAGACAAGCGACUAGCAUUUAGGCUAGAAAAAAUGGGAAAGACAAAAUCAUGUGAUGAUGUUGGUACUGAUAAUGCAAUGUAAAAUCAUAAGAUUCUAAGACAUGGCUAUAAAGUUGUUUCAACUCAUCAUAGAAUUCAUAAUUUUCUGCAUUUCUAAAAAUGAUUACAGUAGGUAGAAGAUGUGAUGAUAUGAGUGUUGCUUGAACAUUAGUAGAUUUUCUGUAACUAUUUCAAUUUAAGAUUGCAUUAGGCCUAAAAAAACUUACAAUUUUCCAGCCUAUAUUUAAAAAAAAAAAAAACACUUAGCCAAAGUUGAACAGUCUUUAGGGAAGUAGAUUGUAUUUUUGGUUUGAACAGUUUUUUCAAGCUUCGUUUUAGGAAAUGGGUAUAUCACAAGGUCCUCUUAUAAUUCUCUACUGUUCCCAGAUGUCAAUGUUCUACGAUUUUGUAACUCUAGCUUGUACUUUAUAUGCUUUCAAUGUGCAGAGGUAUCAGCCUGAGAACUUAAAUCCCAUGAAUUGGCUUAGUAUAUUGUGGUUUUCAUCAUUCAUAUACCACAGCCAGAUAGUUCAAUAGUCACUUUGAGUGGAGGGCAUCAGUAAACAUUGCCUCAAUCAUCUUGCAUGAGGAUCGAUUUUCUGAACUUCAGAUUUCUCUUAAUACCUGCUAUAUUUCGUCAAAUUUUCCACUCUAAAGGCCUGCUGUUUAAUAUUGCAUUUAAAAGCCUAGAUGACAUAUUACUUAUAGCUUACAUCCUUACCAAGAAACUGGUGGUAAAACCCUCACUUAUGGUUAUUUAGGAUCAUUAUGCUUGAUCCCAGAGUUGUAUGAAUCUGUGUUGUUGCUUCCCAAGGACAAUAAUGGGAGUUUCUGUCUACAACAAUAGUACAAUAAGAAGAUUCUCUAAGGAACUUACUCUUAAGGAACCUAUAUUGUUGAAGUGUUUCUUCAAGUAGACCUGAUCCAAGACUUGAUCUUGUACCAUUAUCUCAAUAUAAGAUUGUUUUAGGCCUAUGGAAGGAUAUCAAUUCUGACCCUCAGAUGUGUAAAACCCACCUAAAUCAAUUUAGCCCAUAAUGGGUCCUAACAGUAGAUUGUUGGAAUGCAAGUUACAGUCCACACUUCAAGCCUUAACACAAUAUAUUGAUUCUUAAGAGGCUGCAAUGGUGGAGUGAGAUCGAUAAUUAGAUAAUUAGAACGAAGACAAGUCGAUACAAUUAAACCUUUGAGCAGUUGCAUUAUGGAUCAAACAUUGGAAUUAUGUAACAGGAUCAUGGUAUUCAACAGCUAUUUUUGUAUUUUUUUAAUUUCUUGGAUAUCUGCUGACUCUUUACCAUCUUAUCCACUUAUAUAUAUGAGCUCACAAAGGGUCUGACUGCCUCAAUGCUAAUUGGUAAAUCUGAUGACAAUGCUUAAAUAUCAGGAUUGCAGGAUUCAAGACACUCUGUAUGCAUCUCCUUAACAGUAUUAUUUCUCGUCCCUAGGUACAACUCAGUAAAGGAUCAAGAUACAGCUUGAGACAGAUCUUGGGGACUUGCAAUUUGAAAGAGAUUAACAGUAUUAUUUCUCGUCCCUACAUACAACUCAGUAAAGGAUCAAAGAUACAGCUUGAGACAGAUCUUGGGGACUUGCAAUUUGAAAGAGAUAGUCGAAAAGAAGUAUAUUGAUCUCACAAUGAAAUAUAAAUUUCUUAUCCCUCUGUCAAUUUAUGUACAUCAAAGGAAUGAUAUAAAUGAGUCAAAAUUGGAGAAAAUGGACUUAAGGUGCCGACUAUUUCCUAACUCUUUACUCUUCCUUCUCUCAUAAUGAAUGUAGCCGAGAAGUGAGAUCAAUGAAAGCAUCUUCAUUGCAGGGGAUUGUGACACCACCCAUUGGAUGAUUGAAGCCGAAUUCUUCCUCAGCAUGGCUCAAUAAUUUCUGGAAUGAAGGAUUGUUCAAGUAAGAUAUUGGAACCACAAAUCUCUUCUUUUCAGCUUCUCCAACAUAAACUGCAAAGUGGCCUUUUGGCACUUCUGCUGUUGUCGCUAAUAUAGAUGAUUGACUUCUAGUAAGAAGAGAUUGCAGUUUGAGGAUUUGCCUGGCAUGAACCAUAGAGGGCAAACGGAAACCCAUGGCCUUCUUUGAAAUAGAUCUAAUGAGCUUAAAGUAGAACAAGGAUUGAAACUUCAAAUACUUGAACUGGAUGUGGAGGGAAGCUUUGAGUUGAAGGGAUGAUUUGGUAGUCUUUGUAUUUAUAGACAAGGAAUCUGGUACUUCCCAAUGCUUUCAGAUCUAGUGUGUGGUGACUAUAGUAAAGAGGGAAUGGCAGUUGGGUGUAUACAGGACCAAGCUGAUGAACCACCACAUGAUCUUGCCUCUCUGUUUGUCUCCCAUCCACCCCCAGCCCAUGCUGCAUCAGCCCCACAUGUUCCUAUUGACUUCUUAUCAAUAGGGUAGCUUCUCUAUAUACGAGUAAUUGCAGAAAAACAACCACCUUGUGCUAGAAAAGGAAGAGAAACAAAUCCAAGUGAUGGUGUUGGGUACUGAUAAUGCAAUCUUAAGGUAAGAUUUUCGACAAAAGCUAUAAAAGCUGUCUGGACUUGUCAUGAAGUAAUAGUUUAUGCAUUUCUACAAAUGAUUGCAGUUGCCAGAAGAUAGGAUGACUGGACUUUUUCUUCAUACAACUGAGUAGGUUUAUUGUCUCUUACAUGAGAUUCUACCAGGCCUAUAAACCGAGAAUCAUUCCCAGCCUAAUGUUCAAACUUAACCAGCCGAGGAAUCCUCUUCCAGACAUCACACAUUAGGGAACAUAAGUCACAAUGUUCUAAUUGUUUUGGCAGAGAGGAUCAUAUUGUUCUUGUCAGCUUGAGGACUUAAAAACUAGGUUUAAGGCAGCGGGCACAAGUGCUGGUAAUCUGAACAGAAAAUGCUACCGGUAGACAUGUUGUUGGCUGAUUUUUAUCAUUCAUUCAGGCUAUCAUAAUAUCAGAGAGCAUUGAUACAUCAGAACCAGCUAUUUCAAUAAGCACGAUGAGUGGAGGGCAUCAGUGAAGAAGAACUGACUAUGAGCAUAGAAAUAUUGAGGAUCUUUAUGCUUGACCUAAGACCAUAGUGUCUAAAAGUGCAGAAAAUAUUCGCUGUCAAAGUUUCCCCUUACCAAGGACCAUGGUAAAGCAACAGAAACAAGAGUUUCUUCCAAAGAUCAUUCCCUUGGAACAUGGAAGUAUUUGUAACAUGCCUGAAUACAAGCUCCUAAAUUGAAGACGGGGCUUUAAUAUCAUGAUUUGCAGGAUACAAGGUGUCAUGUUCCUAUCUGUGAAUACUCGUUUUUCAUCCUUUCUUACAUUGUCCAAAAAGUUCAUACUACAAUUCUGAAAGGCCAAUCAGUGAUAGGGGUGAAUAUCAGUGUAGAUAAAAUCAUCAUACUGAAUAGUACAACUCGUUUCUUCACUAUGAAAGAGAUAAGAAACAAUAAGGUCUAUUGAUCUUUCAAUUGAAGACGAUUUUAAUCACUCUGCCCAUGUAUGUACAUUAGCAUGGUAUAGACUGUUGAUUUAUCCAUUAUCAGAACAACCAUCAACCUAGUAACUAGAGGAAAAGUCCCACUUAUAGUCAUGACACCUUAUCAAAAUUGAAGAUCAAAAUUGAUUUUUGGCUAUAGAACUAUUCAGUAUUUUUAUCCCUUAACAAGUCUUGGAAUAAGGCAUGAUUCAGGUAGGAUAUGGGAAAAGUACCCUUUUGGAACACCUGCUGUUGUUGCUGAUUGACAUUUUCUUGGAAGACACAGGGGUCAAAGACAAUCUCAAGUGGUGUGGUAUAGAGCGAGGACUAGGAGGUUUAACACUACAAGAGUAUAAAGAUUUUCAGCAUGCAAGAUUUUAUGUUUGCAUCUCAUCCACAGGCAGAUUGCAGUUAAGAAAUUCAAGAUACAGUUCCCGGACAAAUGUUGGUGAAUUUCAGUGUAUACAUAAUUGGCAUAUUGAACGGUAUAAACACUCAAGUUUUUGCAAUUUGAAAAAGGUAGGAGAAUAAUCUCAAUGAAAUAUGAAUUUUGUAUCCCUCUGCCAAUUUAUGUACAUCUAUGAAAUCAUUUACAUGGGUCAAAAUUAGAGACAGCAGACUUGAUGUGCCAACUAUUUUCUCAACACUUUGCCACUUCUUCUCUCAGGAUGAAUUUAGAUGAGAAGUUAGAUCAAUGAAAGAUUCUUCCUUGCAUGGGAUUGUGACUCCACCCAUUGGAUGAUUGAAGCCGAAUUCUUCCUCAGCAUGGCUCAACAAUUUCUGGAAUGAAGGAUUAUUCAAGUAAGAUAUUGGAACCACAAACCGCUUCUUUUCAGUUUCUCCAACAUAAACUGCAAAGUGGCCUUUUGGCACUUCAGCUGUUGUUGAUGAUACAGAUAGCUGACUUCUGGUAAGAAGAGAUUGCAGUUUGAGGAUCUGCUUGGCAUGAAGAAUUGAAGGCAUACAAACCCAUCUCCUUCUUUGGAAUGAAAUUAGGGAAAUGAUCUUGAAUGAAUCUAAUGAGCUUAAUGUAGAACAAGAAUGGAAACUUGGAACACUUGAACUGGAUGUGAGGGUUGGUUCAGUUGUUGUAUUUAUACAGAAAGAAUCCCUUAUUUUCCAAGCUUUCGUGAUUGGAGGAAAUGGUAGUUGGGGAAAUGAAGGCCCUUCCUCAUCAAGGGUCACAUGGUUUUGCCUCCCUUUCCCUAUCUCUCUGUAUCUUUCACUUCCACCGCCAGCCUAAUUGGGUGUAUCAGCCCCAC